ensembl:lncRNA
CUUCCUCCAUCUCUUCUCUCUCUUCUUCCAUCUCUUUUAUCUCUUCCUCCAUCUCUUCUCUCUCUUCUUCCAUCUCUUCCUCCAUCUCUUCUUCCAUCUCUUCUUCCAUCUCUUCCUCCAUCUCUUCUUCUAUCUUCUAUCGCCUCUUCUUCUAUCUGCAUCUGAUGUUCAAACACAGCGGGUGAGCAAACAUUUGUCACAUCAGUCGACGAUAUUCAAAAGAAUUCAUUUACUGACAAAAAGAAAAUGACAAACAACUAAUGGAACAAUAUAUAAGAGGAUUAGUGUUUGUGACAAUAUGAACCUCUACAGAGAGACAGAGGUCAUUUUACUUCCAAUUAGCUGUUAAUUGGUUCAUGCACUCUUCAUAAAUGUAGGUAACCCACCUUCAGCCUGCCCCUCGUCAUCCUCAGAUCAGCCUCUUCCCUCUUGCCUCCACUCCUCACCAAUUUGACACUAAUUGCUCUUUGUCGAGAUCAAACCCGCCUCGCCGCGUUCCCCUUUUCUCCGCUCACCCCGAAACGCCGUCUGACAGCCGACAGUCGCUGAAAGCGGCUUCACAUCUCGCACACCAGACAGGUAUCGGCUACGACGGGAUAAAAGCCUGAUUUAAUAUUCAAAUCAAUUUCUGAUUUUUAUGGCCUACCUGCCAUCCUCAACCUCCUCGGCUCGCCUCGCCCUCCAGAAUGACACUUUAAUCUGCCAGGUAUUUGAAGAAAUGAGCUCAUAGAAACGUCAUUGACAGUAAAAUGUGCCUCCGUCUUCCUUCUCCCCCCCCUUGGUUUCGUUCCAUAAGAGAACAAACACCCCGCGGCUCUUCUCCAGCUCCAGUCUUGACCCACAUGUGAACAUCGCGCUACUUUACGGGGGAGUUGACCCACGGCGAGGCCGCCCGCUCGUCUCUUUCCACCUCGCUGCGAGCGCUGGCAACACCCGGAACAAGGGGAGCGCAUGAAGGAUUAAAUUAUGAAUGGAGAGCCAGCCAGGCAGAAGCAAACGACCGUGAUAAUGGCAUAACAGCACAUUUCAUUUGCAGAUAACUGCAAUGUGGGGGCUUUUAAGAGGCUCGUCUCACGCUGGCAUUUUUAAUGAAAUUGGCUAAAUCGUGGCCGAUGCCACCUUACAGCCUGCGAAGAAACUGGACGUCUUAAUGGUUAAGAUCAUCAUUGGAAAACAGGAACCGGCGUUUCGAGUAUUAUGAGAGAUGCGCGUCUCAAUCGAAGUCGGUUUCCAUGUGUUUGAAGGGCUUUUAGUUUUAGCAGGAACCAUUCAGACGUGUAUCAUCUGGAGCCGUGGGGCCAAAGAUACGAGACUCGUACGCUUAGAAAUCAUUCAUCCUGACACACAGAUACAUUAUGAAGUCCAGGGUAACACCUUAUGUGACGCAAUGAGCGUAGCAAAGAAUGUGCGGAUGAACGUUGUUCAUGUGGCCUUCUUAUCUGAUUCAGGGAUUAUUGAGAUAACAUGCGGUUGAAGGGUCAGUGCGUCGCAUUUCGAGGGAUUUGUGAGCACAAAUUAAAUAUAGCAUCAUAUAAUAAGAAGCACAUAGUGAGCAAGGCCUCUGCUCGCCAUGUUAGAGAAACAGGUGACGUUGUUUAUAUUCUACAUCCUGACACUGUUGGCCUGAGAGCUAAUCUACAAACUCGCAGUGCCGCAGCCGGCCUGUCGGAGGCGCUCUUCAGCGCGGGGCCGCUCGUCCCUGCAGACCGCAGGGAAAGAGGCCCGAUGGGCCCCUGAUGUGGCUUAAUGCACCUGAAUGCACCGGAUAUCCUGAAAUAUCAUCCGCUGUACUUCUGUAUCUCCCGUGUAACGUGAUGCAGAAGAAAAGGUGGCGCCAGCGAGACGUAACGAGAUCAACCUCCUCCUCCUCCUCCUCCUCCUGGACCAGUUUUAAUCUCUUCCUCCUCGGGUCAGCUGAUCACUUCUCUGCAGAUGUGGAAGUGCUGGUCGGAUCACAGGAGAUGAAAACUGCACGAGGUUGGAAAAUUCCCUCUUUCUCUUUUUAUUGCAGAAUAAUGAGGUAAUUCAUGUAAACGGUUCUGGUUCCUCCGAUUGCCCUCUUCCUCUUCUUGCCUCGUCAUCUGCACGCUACACUGGCGUUUACGGGGCAAUUGAUGCAAAGAGACAGCCGUGACCUCCUGGAGGAGGGACGUAGUGCGGCUGUGUGUGUGUGUGUGUGUGUGUGUGUGUGUGUGUGUGUGUGUGUGUGUGUGUGUAGAGAGACUGUGCCCACCAGCUGUUUCGUUCAGCCAUCUGUGGCGUCAGAUGACUCUGGAGGUUUCUCGACGUGCUGCGACGAACAAGAGUGCACAUUUUGGGCGCCACUUGGCAGGCGCACGGGCACGUUUGCUCUUCCCUCUCUUUGUGUCUGUUCCGCUGAAUUGGAUCCAGCUCAGUCCGGUUGGUGCUUUCUAGGCGAGAAAUGACACAACUGCCACGGCGGCGGGCGACGACAUGAAUCACCGGAUUCAAGCGUUACGUGUCAGUGAUGAUCUUGAACAGUAGGACAUACAUCAGGUAAACCCUCUCGCAUAGGGAUGUAAAAACAAUCAUCGGCCAACACAGCCUCCAGUUCUAGUGAUCAAGAGGAUUUGGGGGUUUUCUGUCCUCCUCCUGGUGGGCGAGGUUCCAAUCUGCAUUCACUUACGGGCUGAAUGGCUUCAAUUAGCAGUGAAGGAAACGUGACACUUGUGUGACAUGCCUAGAACAAUAAAUCCACUCAACAGGGAGAAUUCUUAACAUACACAACGUGGUAUUCAUUUGCCUUCGUCAAACCCGACUAACUCCUAUUUGAUAGGAAACCUAUUUGUAGCUAAUUUCCCUGUUUAGAUGAGGAGCUGCCUGUUGGAUCCUUGAGGUGCGUUCGGCCUCCGUGUUUCCCCUCCGGCAUCUCAUUCCACCUGCUGCUCUGUCCUCGUCCGUCUGAACGGGAAGCCGAGCACGGGCACCGGUUUUCCCUUCCAGACGGGUCGUAGUCGUCACUUUAUGACAUCUUCAUCCGACUCAAGCGUAAUGAAAAUCGUGUUCUAACCCCCCCCCCCCCAAACGGAUUCCGUGACGGGACGGCGCAGGGUUACGUCUUACUGGCAUUUCCACCGAUGUGGAGCAGGGCGAUUGUAUAAUAAAACAAGUAAAAAGUGAAUAAAGGUCCGUCUUAUCUCGCCGAGAGCGACUCGGCGACCGUCUCCCAGAGGACGCCGGGAGGACGCCGUAAAGACUUACAGGGCAGGAAGCCGGCGUGAUCCUCCCGUGUACCUGUCAGCCGGGAAUGAUGGCUGACUUCCUGUGGGCUGGAGGAACGCUAAUAGUCUCCAGAUGGACACAGAGAAAUCUUCACCUUGUGUGUGUGUGUGCGUGUGCGUGUGUUUUCUCCCAGCGGCAGGAAACUUUACACCUACGUUGGGACACAGGAUGACUUAAACACGUGUGCGUUUCUGUGUUCACCUGGACCUCUGCUUUCCCAGCAGAAGAAAAGAUCUGAGCUUUGAGAAUCAAAGCCGAGGAAUUUCUCUCGAGAUAAUCCAAAUAUUCAAAACGCCAUUGGAAAUAUUUUUAUUAUUAUUAUAUUGUGUCACACAAUCCUGUCGUCCUAGAACCACUUUGCAGCAUCCAGGCCGCAGUGGAAAAGUGUUCGAUCACAUGGAAGGAAAAAGAUCUUCUCUACUGCAACAAGCUGACCUUCAGCACCGAGCAGCAAGCCUCCAUUAACCCUCCAAGGAACCCAAGAGCUCGACUGUCGUCCCUGAUUGGACGCUGAGAUCCGUCGGCUGAGUGAGGCAGCAGUGUUUUCUUUUCACAUUUCUCCGUCCCCGACGUCCCCGCUGACGUGAACCUCUGCAGAAAACAUCUGCAUGCACGUUACAUUUGUUCGGGAGCUCAGAGGCUCAGAAGCUUUGAUCUCACUCAGCUUCCCUCUACGUUCAGCGGAGGGGAUGAAACCGCGCUGAGGUCAUUAACGGUAACGGCUGAAGUCGAAGCACAGCACAUACUUCAGAUAUCUGGCCGGAGGAAUGUGUGUGUGUGUGUGUUUUCCUGGUCUCCGGGCUGCAUGGAGGUCUCUGCUCUACAUUAAAGCCACGUGUCUCCGUUGUUCCUUCCUGCGAGCGCGUCGUACCUGCAGCUCUCGCCCUCGUGGCUCCAGCGAUCGUCGCGAUACGACGCCAAGAGACGGGUUCAUCGGUUCACAGUGGGGGGUUUUUUUUGGUGUGUUUUUUUCUUUUUCUCUUUUGAAACGUGUAUGAUGACUCAGAGGAGAGGUGAGGUAACCAUGUAAUUGAUGGAAAGAAUGACUGGAUCAGGUCACGUGUGUCCACUGAGGAACACGCCAUGAGACACCUGGCAGCCAGGACGUCCUCAGGUGGUAACAAACUCACUUUAAAAGCUUAUUCCAGAGUUUUAUCAGUGUGUAGUAAUGGAGAUUUAUUUUCCUUUAUAAAACUCCAUUCAACAAGACACAGUUUGUCUGGAAUUAGAUUAAAGACCUUCCAACGGUUGUUUUUUACACGAAUACUUUCACACAGAACGUAAUUAUUAUCUGCAAAUGAGCAAAGUCAUUUUGCACGUCAAAAAAACGUGUGUGUAGACUUCAUAGUAAAAUGACACCGAGGUCCUUAGAAAGCACCAAGACCACUAAGUCAAACUUAAACUAGUUCUUAUGAGAUCGAUAUGAUGAGAUCAUCGUGCUCACGUGGAAACGUGGACAAGAACCGCCUUCGUCAGCACACCACAGAUUGAUAUCACACACACACACACACACACACACACGAUACGCUGUGCACACCGGCAGAGUUGGACAGGAAGGAUUUGGGUUUCACGCUUCCUGUGCCGUGUUCCUCAGGCUGCUGGCUGAUGUCUUCACGUUGAGACGUCCCCUGAAGCACGCAGGUGAAACCUUUUCUACCAGGGAGCCAGAAAUCUGCUAUUUUCACCUUUUUCCCAGAAGUCGUUUUGUUUGUAGUUUUCAGCUUGACUUUCCACACAAACAAACAUUAUUGUAGCAUUUAAAUGACUUUUUUAAUACCCCUUCUAGGUGUUUUUUUUUCUAAUUACAUUUAUAUAGGAUUGCAAUUAUAAGUUACAGAAAAAAUAUAUAAUUCGUUUUAAGUAAUAGCCGAACAAAUGCAUUGGGACAUGAAACCAUUUGAGUAAAUUAAAAAGGAAUUUGUAGAAUUGGUCUGUAAGAAAAUUCUGUAUGAAUGUUGAUCUUAAACUAAACAGGCCUCAAAAAUUCCUUAUGAUUUUCUUUGUGGAGUCAGAAUUACGGAGAACAAUAACACAACUAAGCCAAAGACUAAAGACUGCACUGAUUUGACGUCGGCCUCACGCUGCAUGAAGCUUUGGGCCUGCAGCUGCAUUUCGCCUUCAGGUUUUACCUCUAAAACUCAAUUUCUCUGAGUCCCAUCUGUAACCGCUCCACCUGUCGCUCCCGCGGCCUCCGUCUCUCCGUGUCCGUGACGCUGCGGAGGCGGAGGCGUCCGUCUUUACGACGUGGCCGUUACGAGGCCUCCGGGGCGCCGAUCCGCUCCUCUAAACAGACACAGGCACAGCGCUUUACUGCGCAUUACAGAACCCGCGAUUUGAUUGAAAACACACCAGCGUGUGAGUACGAGGGACUGAAUGUGAGACGCCUGCAGCAAACUACAACUGGGUCCAUGUUCGUCGGCCGGCUGGGGCCACAUGGGCACAAUUCAAUAUCAGGGUUUUUAAUUGGAAAUGAGGAUUAUUACGCCCCGCUGAGAUAAGACCGUAAUUAUGGAAGUAUCAUAAGUGUUCGUCCGUUAGAGGUAAUUUACUGUAAGCGCUGUUUGGUUUCAAGACCGACAAAUACAAAUUGAUAUUCAGUACAUUCUGUUGCCACAAGUACUUUGCACUGAUGCUGUGCCCGCUAGUACUACAACUACAGCUACUGCGUAUUGAUACUUCAGCUGCCCCCAGUACUACUACCGCUGUAUAGUAUUACAUAUUCUGUACUGCUAUCACUACCUGCACUACUUGCAUUAAUUCCCCCCCCACACACACACACACACGGUGGAUCAAUCUUUGCUACAAUUUUUUCGGAUUCAGUUUGUUGGAUCCGCACGACAAAAACAAACAAAAAAGACUCGGCGGCAACAGAGGACUCGUCCUCCCCCUAAAGGCCUCACUCGGCUAAAUAUAGCCAGGAGAUGCAUGUCUGUCAGCCGCCCCCACCCACCACCUCCACCUCCACCUCCUCCGUCACCAUUCUCCGCCCCCCUCAAGCCCUUAUCUUAAUUAUUUCCAGACCUUUCCAACACACACACACACACACACACACACACACACACACACACAAAUACCAGUGUUGUGUUUACAGGCCUUCCUGCUGAUGUUAAAGUCAGGAGUGUGUGUGUGUGUGUGUGUGUGUGUGUGUGUGUGUGUGUGUGAGCAUGUUCUCUGUAAUCUGUAUUUGUUUCAUUGCAUUGUGCGUCCAGUGAAAAUACCUAUGAGUAAUAAAACUUUUCUAAAAUCCCCGUCGGUUAAUCGUUGUUGUUUUCCACUUCUUUUUCAAAUCAACUUGGUCAGUUUUAGAAUUCUGGUUUGAUUUUGAUUACAUUCCGCUAAAAAUGAGUUAGCGUGCCGUUGAAACUUUAAUAAUUUGUACUAACAAAAAAAUAGGUCAUGCACUGGAGGCCACGUUACCCACAAUGCAGCUGCAUUGCAGGGCGAGGAGUGGGGGACUCGUGCGCGCUCGUGUCUGAACGAGGAGAAAAUCGGCCUUUAACCAAAGUACCUCGCGGCAGCAGAGGAGGAUACUCAGAAACACAUAUUUUCAUGUGAUCGUCUACUUGUGUUUUUCUGAACACCAGGAUAUUUUUGUUCAGGUUGUGUGUGUGUCUCCAACUCAGAGCAAUAACAUCUGAUGAAGCUUUAAUGAUGUCAGUGGGGAAAUUGGGUUGCAGCAACAGCAGCGGUGAAUAAAAUGACAGUGAGAAUGUAAAGAGGAGGUGUUCUAAUAGUGAAAUGACAAACAUAGAUAAAUGUCUUUCUGCUUUGUUUGGCAGGAAACUGCUGGUUUAUUGUCUUUCAUUCUCGGGUGUGUCACAGUGAGAAAAUCCCCUGAAUGCAGGUAUCCA